rnacentral:rRNA from 1 species
UGACCUCGGAUCAGUAGGGAUACCCGCUGAACUUAGCAUAUCAAUAAGCGGAAG